AUUGAACGCUGGCGGCAGGCUUAACACAUGCAAGUAGAACGAGUGGCGGACGGGUGAGUAAUGGCUGGGAAACUGCCUGAUGGAGGGGGAUAACUACUGGAAACGGUGGCUAAUACCGCAUACUAUCGGAUGAACCCAUAUGGGAUUAGCUAGUAGGUGGGGUAAAGGCUCACCUAGGCGACGAUCUCUAGCUGGUCUGAGAGGAUGAUCAGCCACCCUGCGACUGAGACACUGCCCAGACUCCUACGGGAGGCAGCAGUGGGGAAUAUUGCACCAUGGGCGCAAGCCUGAUGCAGCCAUGCCGCGUGUAUGAAGAAGGCCUUAGGGUUGUAAAGUACUUUCAGCGGGGAGGCGUUACCCGCAGAAGAAGCACCGGCUAACUCCGUGCCAGCAGCCGCGGUAAUUC
rnacentral:rRNA from 1 species